GGGCCUGUAGCUCAGCUGGGAGAGCGCUAGAAUCGCACUCUAGAGGUCUCCGGUUCGAUCCCGGACAGGUCCACCA
rnacentral:tRNA from 1 species